GCGGGUGUAGUUCAGUGGUAGAACGUCAUCUUCCCAUGGUGAAUGUCGUGAGUUCGAGUCUCAUCACCCGCU
rnacentral:tRNA from 1 species